UACGGAGGGGACUAGCGUUGUUCGGAAUUACUGGGCGUAAAGCGCGCGUAGGCGGAUUAGUCAGUCAGAGGUGAAAUCCCAGGGCUCAACCCUGGAACUGCCUUUGAUACUGCUAGUCUUGAGUUCGAGAGAGGUGAGUGGAAUUCCGAGUGUAGAGGUGAAAUUCGUAGAUAUUCGGAGGAACACCAGUGGCGAAGGCGGCUCACUGGCCAGAUACUGACGCUGAGGUGCGAAAGUGUGGGGAGCAAACAGG
rnacentral:misc_RNA from 1 species